UAGUGACAGCGGCAGUCUAACAGAUUUACAACAGCAGAACACCAAAUACACCUGAGAGAACCCACCGCCACUCCGACACCCGCACAUACCCCGGGUACGUUCGCUACAAGUGUCGAUCCUUGCUACAGAAACACCUGUAGAUACACUGCUCACAGAUAAAGUUAAUGGCGACAGAAGGAGAGAGCUACCACCCAGUGAGGGAUGGUCAUACCCGUAAUUUCUUGUUUCUGAAUGAAACAAAAGAUAAAAACCUUUCCUGUCUGCUCGUCCUCAACGUCUGCAGCUGUCAACAACGUCUGCGGGGACAUUUUAUUCCAGCAAUAAAUACUGGUACUCAUGGCGGCUAUAAAAACAUGGCGCCGGGCAGGCAUAUAUAUGUUGCCUGACAUUAAAGGCCUACUACAGUGAAAUUUCUUUCUCAAUCGGCUGAGAAUGCUGCAAGGCUAUAAUAUAAAUAUGGAUGUGAGUGAAUAAAUAAUAGUUCUCUGGAAUAAAGCUUUUGAAAAGAAGUCAUGUCAAGCUCUCUCUCUAUUGGUUGUAGCCUUGACGACGGGCACGUAACCAUGUACAUUCCUUACGUCAUGAUUUGAAUCUGUUUUGUGCUUGUAGGUGUUGGAAGUCUUUAUCUCCAGCAUGGAAAAAAUUCAUCCGCUCUGAAGGCGAUGAAAAGGUACUUUGCAUCCACUUUAAAAAAAUAUUACACUCUUGAGGACCUUGAGGGAUUUCUUUCUAAGAGAACUCCUUUUCAGUUUCCUGAAAUAUUCAACUUCUGGGUAUUUUGCGCUUUGUUUUUAUGAGAAGAAGAGACCAAUCACGUGGGUUAAACUAAUUACACAAAACUCUUUCAUCGGCUUUGUUUUGUAUAUGUCCCACACCUCUUUCAUUAUCCGAAUGUUUUCAUUAUUAUCGAAUAAACAUUCACAGAGCCCCAAGUAUCUCUGCCUCCACACUCACACGUGACAGAGUCGCUUCGAAAUAUUUUAGGAGGACGCGAACUACCCCCAGCAGCCAGAGGCAGGUCAGCAGCAGUCCUAAAGCCACCCGCCACCCGUAUCUUCAUAAUCAAACAGGCGGCAUUGUCACGAGGGCCAUAAGAGGGCAAAGAAUUCUGGGCAACAGAUGCAGUGACUGAGUCACGUCUCGCGCAUGUCAGCAAACAUCCUUUCAUCUUCCUCCUUUCUCGCUAUUUCCAUCAUCAAAGACAUUCCUCACUUUUACUUGCAUUGCUGUUUUCUCAGUCGAUUGCACAAUAAUAAUUCUAUUUUAUAAUAUACCUUAUUGAUAAAAAAAUGAUUUAGGGGAUGACCGUAGAAGCUAAUCGCUAAAGUUCAGAUAAAAUAUUUAAGUCUUGUUCACCUGGAGCUGUGGUUAUGAAGUAAGGGUAAGUAGUUGCCCCGGGGGCAGAUAAAACAUUGGCAAGUAUUUUCUAUCUGUAGCUUCGAAGGGAUGUCCACACUGAUAAGAAUCAUUGAUACAUUAACCCCAGAGCAUCUUUGCCACUGUUUUAUAAACACGGGGACAAGGUGAUUUACCUCUGUUGCUGCGAGACAGCGAACUUACACCUGCUCAUACCUACAUCUGUUCUCGUUUAUAAAGUAGGUUUCAUGUCUUUUUCUACUUGGUUGUUGAAUUGUUUGAUUCGUCAAACUAAGACAUUAUGUCCGUCUCACACUGAUUUCAUCAACAAGGAAAAGAGCAAUACAAGGGUUGAACCGAAAACAAACCCUGAAGCCAGCCCCGUGAAAUAGAGAAGUACCCCGGGAUCUGAACCAGUCACCUUACAAUCCUCGCAGCAAUGGUGACAAGUGAUCGCAUCCCCCUUCUCACAGCUUUUCUCCCUCCGACAUCUUGCUGGACGUGAACGACUAUGUCGGUUUGUUAGACACUCGACGGAACGGAGAAUGCGGAACUGUAAGCGCAUGCGCAGUUGUUAACUUCCUGCAAGCGGCCAAGACUCUGAUGGUUAUUCUCAGGUGUUGUUGUUUUUUUUAUUAUUAUUAUUAUACAGAGUACUUUUACGCCGACAGCAAGCUCAGUGUACUUGAUAUAAAAUGUUGGUUGGACAAUAUACACACAUCAAACACACAAGAAGACACCUAACCACACACACCAAAAAUAGAAGGUAUGAAAAGAGAGAGUGGUACACAAGAAAGGAAGUAAGCAUUUUAUGCCAGCCACCUCGUAGGUAUCUAUCGAGGGUCAAUCUGGUCAGUCUUGACUAAAGGUGAGGCGACAACGACGGGUGCGAUAAUUACAGAAUGCAAAUUAGGGUGAGAUGCCUGUCAUGUGACAGCUCAAUCUACUGUAGAGUUUUCACACUUUCAUGUCGACAAGAUGACAUUUACACUGCAAUGACUGAGACAUCUACAAGAUGACAUUUUCAUCUCCACCAUCAUAUUUUUCAUACAAUAAGCCACCCUGUCUCGCUCUGUAGAAUACGAACCGUAAUCAGA
rnacentral:lncRNA from 1 species